rnacentral:rRNA from 1 species
AUUGAACGCUGGCGGCAGGCUUAACACAUGCAAGUCGAGCGGAGAUGAGGUGCUUGCACCUUAUCUUAGCGGCGGACGGGUGAGUAAUGCUUAGGAAUCUGCCAUUUAGUGGGGGACAACAUUCCGAAAGGAAUGCUAAUACCGCAUACGUCCUACGGGAGAAAGCAGGGGAUCUUCGGACCUUGCGCUAAAUGAUGAGCCUAAGUCGGAUUAGCUAGUUGGUGGGGUAAAGGCCUACCAAGGCGACGAUCUGUAGCGGGUCUGAGAGGAUGAUCCGCCACACUGGGACUGAGACACGGCCCAGACUCCUACGGGAGGCAGCAGUGGGGAAUAUUGGACAAUGGGCGGAAGCCUGAUCCAGCCAUGCCGCGUGUGUGAAGAAGGCCUUUUGGUUGUAAAGCACUUUAAGCGAGGAGGAGGCUACUAGUACUAAUACUACUGGAUAGUGGACGUUACUCGCAGAAUAAGCACCGGCUAACUCUGUGCCAGCAGCCGCGGUAACAC